GGAGGAAAAGGUUUCAAAAGUUGUUACUAAAUGUCAAAGUCCUUCUUCAACUUUGGACUACAAUAACAGUCUUGGAGUUUUCAAUGGAAUCUCCUAUCCAACAGACAUAGUUCUAAAAGAUAAAUUUACAGACAACAUAGAACCUGUUUUACCGAAAUUCAUCUAUUCAGAACCAACAAAAGAAGGAUUCUUGUUUAAAAACAAAGCUUAUGAUGAAUCAGUAAACAACCAUUGACCGUUUUUUAAACAUGACAACAAGUCCGAGAAAGCCUCUACUUCCGAGGAUAUUAAAAACAGUACAGUUGGGAACAUUCUUUUUCCUCGUGUGAACAACAUAAGCAAAGAACGUAACCGGCUUUCAUAUUACGGCAAUCCUCAUGUGGGAAAUCUUACACUAGUCUCUGCAGAUAAGAGUUCGAGUUCCAUUUGCCUAUCCAAACAAUCUUCAAGCAUUGACUACCCACCGUCGCUCAAACCAAGCCCAAAAAAACCGCUGCAGCAAAUAAGCCGCUUUCUCAUCCCACUUUCGCUGAGAUGAUAACUGAAGCAAUCACAAACCUGAAAGAAAGAACCGGUUCAAGCCAAUAUGCUGAAACAAAAUUCAUCAAAGAGAAACACGAGGACUCACCUCCAACUUACCGUAAGCUUGUCAAGUUUACCUAUCAGAAGGUAUUGUUUCACUAUGGAGAGAUAACACUGCAAACGUCAUCCGUUACUUCCCCGCUCAGGCUUUGAAUUUUGCAUUCGAGGACUACUUCAAGAGGCUUUUCGAUUUCAAUAAGGACAAAGAUGGUUACUGGAAGUGGUUGGCUGGUGACUUGGCCUCAGGAGCACGAAUCUAAACCGUAGCCACCAAUAUUCAUCGCUGAAGCAUCAACCGCCUGCAUUACCGUCCAAGUCAAACAAUCUGCACAUAAAGAGAGAAAAAGCAAAAGACGACUUCACUUUGAAGAAUCUGCAACUUUCAAGAAGAGGAUAACAUAAUUCGAUCUCCAAUUUCUCAACCGACGGAACCGGAAGCUCCACACCAGCAUAAC
rnacentral:lncRNA from 1 species